GUAGGGAAUCUUCCACAAUGGACGAAAGUCUGAUGGAGCAACGCCGCGUGAGUGAAGAAGGGUUUCGGCUCGUAAAGCUCUGUUGUCGGGGACGAAUGUGCAGUAUUUGAAUAAAGUAGUGCAAUGACGGUACCUGACGAGGAAGCCACGGCUAACUACGUGCCAGCAGCCGCGGUAAUACGUAGGUGGCAAGCGUUGUCCGGAAUUAUUGGGCGUAAAGGGAGCGCAGGCGGGCAGGUAAGUCGGUCUUAAAAGUGCGGGGCUCAACCCCGUGAUGGGAGCGAAACUAUCUUGCUUGAGUGCAGGAGAGGAAAGUGGAAUUCCUAGUGUAGCGGUGAAAUGCGUAGAUAUUAGGAGGAACACCAGUGGCGAAGGCGACUUUCUGGACUGUAACUGACGCUGAGGCUCGAAAGCCAGGGGAGCGAACGGGAUUAGAUACCCGGGUAGUCC
rnacentral:rRNA from 1 species